CAGAAUUGAUAAACAUACUCACAUGUACAGUACAAAUCUGUUUGGAAAAUCUAAGCCAUCCAUUAGAUGGGCGCCACCAAGUAUUGCCCCCAACAUUUAUGCUUGUUUUUCCAUUUAUGCUUGUUCUAACAUUGUUAUCAAUUCCCAACAUCUUGGCCUUUUGGUCCCUUGCCCUACCAAAUUGCAUUGUUAUUGACAAAUAGAUGAAGGAUCAAAUAGGAUACAUGAUGAAAGAGAAAUACCUUUAACCUGUGUUUGGUUGCACUAUUGAAGUGAAUUGCAAUUACAUUAGUUUCCAUAUUGAAGGACUUAGAUCAAAACUGCAAUUACAUUAUUUUCAAAUUGGACGCAAAUCGAAAGCAACUUCAACUAGAGGACUACUUAUUACGGAUACCAUCUUACGCUUUGGUCAUUUAGAACUAGUUAUUGCAAUUCAAGAUUCAAUAAUGCAUUUGAGGAAGGCCUUAGUUAUUAUUUCACUACAGAUUUAAGAAAAAGGUAAUGAGAGGAUCCAAGAACCUUUAACAAAAUUAGUUCCAUACCUGUAAUGGUAAGGAACCACUCAAGAGGGCCUUUGAUUAGGUGUAUUACAAACGUCUUAUAAGAAGUUUUUAGUGCCAUAUCCGAAGUUAUGACCUAUUGUUUAAUAUUUUUUUUUUUUGUUCUGAUAAGCUUCACCCACUUCAGUGAAAUUCUUUUGUUCGAAGGAUUCUUUUUCGCAGUCUGAUAGAUCAUUUGAGAAGAACUACUUGUUUCAUCUCAUGAUAGGUGAAUAAAUAAUUUUAUAUUGUUCUGUUGCAAAAUAUGGUUAUAUAACCUAUGAAAUUGUCAACUAAUCUAUUGGGGAUUAUCAUAUCAGAAUUAUAUCAACCAAAUUUGCUGCUCAUCACAAAAUUUUCUGUUAUUUCAGUUGGCAUUUCCUGCUUUUGUUUCCUAUGUUGUCUUUGGUUCAUGUUUCAAAGUUGAGCAUUGUAAACAACAUGCUUGUUGCGAUGUCUUUUGUGAAUGCAUAAUUUUUAAUUAAUAUUGUAAACAACAUACUUGUUUGAAAGUUGAGCUAGCCUUUUGAUAUGUGCUUUGGUUGUUAUGUUUAACUAUAUCCCAUUUCAUUAGGUGCAUUUUAUACAUUUUGCAAUGCAACAUGCUGAUAUUGAUAGUGUUCUGACAUGACUAACUCUAUACUAUAAAUCUGAUUUUUAUAUUUUGCUUCUUGCUUGUGCCAUGCCAAGUGUGAAGAGCUAGUAGCCAAGUCUGAACAUCAACUUUCCCCUUUUAACCAGGCCCUGGAACUGCCGAACUAGCUAUUAGCCAGGGCAAAGGCUCACAUGCAACUUAUCUCCAAUAAAAUACAAAAGGUUAUAUAAGUGAUCAGAUAAGUUUUCUAACAAACUUGGUAAGCCAGUAAGUAUCUACUUACUUUAUGUCAUACACCUUGUUGUGGUUGCCAUUUAUUUUCUCUACUUUACGAUCCGAAUCAUGUAGAUAUAGACAUAUUAUUCAAUAUUUAUAGCAAUGAAAUCAAACAUUCAAACAUAAUGCAGGUUUCUUUUGAUUAAAACUAUAUUUUAAUUUUCUUGAAAAGAAGGUUGAAAAUGCUGAAAACGUAUGAUUUUUCUUGAUUUUCUUUUGCAGAAUUUGAGGAUUUACUUCAUAACAAGUUUGUGCUUGACUGUGGAUGUGUGGUUGGGUACAUUUUUGGAGGCAUUCGAUGAAUGUGCAGAGAUCAGUCGACAAUUUGAGAUUGCUAAGGAGCCUAUUUUCAACCUUGUUCCCAUCUUAGGUUGGUUGAAAGUUUCAAUCCACUCUCAGUGCUAGUUUCAAUCCACUCGGUUGAAAGUUUUAAUCAUGUUUAUGUUCAGGUCCAAUUCCUUCCUCUUUGGUGAACCUAUAAAUAUGUAAGGAACUAGUAACAACUUCUUUGUGCUGUUCUUGGAUGAAACAAUGACCUAUUCAUGCGCUAUAUUUAAGAGCAAGGAUGAAGAUUUAAAGGUCGCACAGCUACGGAAAAUCUCUCCUGAUUGAAAAGGCCAGAAUCAAUGCCAGGCACGAAAUUCUUGAGAUUAGUUGUGGUUGGGGAAGCCUAGCUAUAGAGGUUGUCAAAAGUGGUUGUAAAUACACAGGCAUCACAUUGUCUGAGCAACAACUGAAAUAUGCAGAAAGGAAAGUGAAAGAAGGUAGCCUCUAGGUAGUUUAUUUUAUUCAAAAUUCUAUUUACAAAAUUGUGAUCUCAGUGAAAAUGGAUUACUA